AAAUGACGGUACCUGACUAAGAAGCCCCGGCUAACUACGUGCCAGCAGCCGCGGUAAUACGUAGGGGGCAAGCGUUAUCCGGAUUUACUGGGUGUAAAGGGAGUGUAGGUGGCAUGACAAGUCAGAAGUGAAAGCCCGGGGCUCAACCCCGGGACUGCUUUUGAAACUGUCAAGCUAGAGUGCAGGAGAGGUAAGUGGAAUUCCUAGUGUAGCGGUGAAAUGCGUAGAUAUUAGGAGGAACACCAGUGGCGAAGGCGGCUUACUGGACUGUAACUGACACUGAGGCUCGAAAGCGUGGGGAGCAAACAGGAUUAGAUACCCUGGUAGUCCACGCUGUAAACGAUGAAUACUAGGUGUCGGGGCGCAUAAGCGCUUCGGUGCCGCAGCUAACGCAUUAAGUAUUCCACCUGGGGAGUACGUUCGCAAGAAUGAAACUCA
rnacentral:rRNA from 1 species